ACCGCGAUAGCUCAGCUGGUAGAGCAUCUGCCCAGUAAGUAGAGUGUCAUCGGUUCGUUUCCGGCUUGCGGCG
rnacentral:tRNA from 1 species